GAUGAACGCUGGCGGCGUGCUUAAUACAUGCAAGUCGAACGAUGAAGCCCAGCUUGCUGGGUGGAUUAGUGGCGAACGGGUGAGUAACACGUGAGUAACCUGCCCUUGACUCUGGGAUAAGCGCUGGAAACGGCGUCUAAUACCGGAUACGAGCUUCCACCGCAUGGUGAGUUGCUGGAAAGAAUUUCGGUCAAGGAUGGACUCGCGGCCUAUCAGGUAGUUGGUGAGGUAACGGCUCACCAAGCCGACGACGGGUAGCCGGCCUGAGAGGGUGACCGGCCACACUGGGACUGAGACACGGCCCAGACUCCUACGGGAGGCAGCAGUGGGGAAUAUUGCACAAUGGGCGCAAGCCUGAUGCAGCAACGCCGCGUGAGGGACGAAGGCCUUCGGGUCGUAAACCUCUUUUAGCAGGGAAGAAGCGAAAGUGACGGUACCUGCAGAAAAAGCACCGGCUAACUACGUG
rnacentral:rRNA from 1 species